AACGCACAUUGCGCCCUUUGACAUUCCGAAGGGCAUGCCUGUUCGAGCGUCAUUACACCAAUCAAGCCUGGCUUGAUAUUGGGCGACGGGGCCGUCACACGCCCCGCGCCCCAAUGACCCCCCGGCGGGACGGACUGUAUCUCAGCGUUGUGCAAAUGUCGCUGGCGAUUUACAGGAUGGCCGUGCCGUUAAACCCCUCAUCACAAGGUUGACCUCGGAUCAGGUAGGGAUACCCGCUGAACUUAA
rnacentral:misc_RNA from 1 species